rnacentral:rRNA from 1 species
UACGUAGGGGGCAAGCGUUGUCCGGAAUCAUUGGGCGUAAAGAGCGUGUAGGCGGCCCGAUAAGUCCGCUGUGAAAGUCAAGGGCUCAACCCUUGGAUGCCGGUGGAUACUGCAGGGCUAGAGUCCGGAAGAGGCGAGUGGAAUUCCUGGUGUAGCGGUGAAAUGCGCAGAUAUCAGGAGGAACACCGAUGGCGAAGGCAGCUCGCUGGGACGGUACUGACGCUGAGGCGCGAAAGCGUGGGGAGCAAACAGG